rnacentral:rRNA from 1 species
UACGUAGGGUGCAAGCGUUGUCCGGAAUUAUUGGGCGUAAAGAGCUCGUAGGCGGUUUGUCGCGUCUGCUGUGAAAGUUCGGGGCUCAACCCCUGAACUGCAGUGGGUAUGGGCAGACUAGAGUGCGGUAGAGGAGACUGGAAUUCCUGGUGUAGCGGUGGAAUGCGCAGAUAUCAGGAGGAACACCAGUGGCGGAGGCGGGUCUCUGGGCCGCAACUGAAGCUGAGGAGCGAAAGCGUGGGGAGCGAACAAG